rnacentral:rRNA from 2 species
GGUUAAGCGACUAAGCGUACACGGUGGAUGCCCUGGCAGUCAGAGGCGAUGAAGGACGUGCUAAUCUGCGAAAAGCGCCGGCGAGGUGAUAUGAACCUUUGACCCGGCGAUGUCCGAAUGGGGAAACCCAGUGCAAUUCGUUGCACUAUCGUUAACUGAAUACAUAGGUUAACGAGGCGAACCGGGGGAACUGAAACAUCUAAGUACCCCGAGGAAAAGAAAUCAACCGAGAUUCCCCCAGUAGCGGCGAGCGAACGGGGAGCAGCCCGGAGUCUGAAUCAGCUUGUGUGUUAGUGGAACGGUCUGGAAAGUCCGACGGUACAGGGUGAUAGUCCCGUACACGAAAGCACACUUGCUGUGAACUCGAAGAGUAGGGCGGGACACGUGGUAUCCUGUCUGAAUAUGGGGGGACCAUCCUCCAAGGCUAAAUACUCCUGACUGACCGAUAGUGAACCAGUACCGUGAGGGAAAGGCGAAAAGAACCCCGGCGAGGGGAGUGAAAAAGAACCUGAAACCGUGUACGUACAAGCAGUGGGAGCCUCUUUAUGGGGUGACUGCGUACCUUUUGUAUAAUGGGUCAGCGACUUAUAUUCUGUAGCAAGGUUAACCGUAUAGGGGAGCCGAAGGGAAACCGAGUCUUAACUGGGCGUUAAGUUGCAGGGUAUAGACCCGAAACCCGGUGAUCUAGCCAUGGGCAGGUUGAAGGUUGGGUAACACUAACUGGAGGACCGAACCGACUAAUGUUGAAAAAUUAGCGGAUGACCUGUGGCUGGGGGUGAAAGGCCAAUCAAACCGGGAGAUAGCUGGUUCUCCCCGAAAGCUAUUUAGGUAGCGCCUCGUGAACUCAUCUUCGGGGGUAGAGCACUGUUUCGGCUAGGGGGCCAUCCCGGCUUACCAACCCGAUGCAAACUACGAAUACCGAAGAAUGUUAUCACGGGAGACACACGGCGGGUGCUAACGUCCGUCGUGAAGAGGGAAACAACCCAGACCGCCAGCUAAGGUCCCAAAGUCAUGGUUAAGUGGGAAACGAUGUGGGAAGGCACAGACAGCCAGGAUGUUGGCUUAGAAGCAGCCAUCAUUUAAAGAAAGCGUAAUAGCUCACUGGUCGAGUCGGCCUGCGCGGAAGAUGUAACGGGGCUAAACCAUGCACCGAAGCUGCGGCAGCGACGCUUAUGCGUUGUUGGGUAGGGGAGCGUUCUGUAAGCCGUUGAAGGUGUCCUGUGAGGGGUGCUGGAGGUAUCAGAAGUGCGAAUGCUGACAUAAGUAACGAUAAAGCGGGUGAAAAGCCCGCUCGCCGGAAGACCAAGGGUUCCUGUCCAACGUUAAUCGGGGCAGGGUGAGUCGACCCCUAAGGCGAGGCCGAAAGGCGUAGUCGAUGGGAAACAGGUUAAUAUUCCUGUACUUGGUGUUACUGCGAAGGGGGGACGGAGAAGGCUAUGUCAGCCGGGCGACGGUUGUCCCGGUUUAAGCAUGUAGGCGGAGGUUCCAGGUAAAUCCGGUACCUUAUUAACGCUGAGGUGUGAUGACGAGGCACUACGGUGCUGAAGUGAUAAAUGCCCUGCUUCCAGGAAAAGCCUCUAAGCAUCAGGUAACACGAAAUCGUACCCCAAACCGACACAGGUGGUCAGGUAGAGAAUACCAAGGCGCUUGAGAGAACUCGGGUGAAGGAACUAGGCAAAAUGGUGCCGUAACUUCGGGAGAAGGCACGCUGAUAUGUAGGUGAAGUCCCUGCGGACGGAGCUGAAAUCAGUCGAAGAUACCAGCUGGCUGCAACUGUUUAUUAAAAACACAGCACUGUGCAAACACGAAAGUGGACGUAUACGGUGUGACGCCUGCCCGGUGCCGGAAGGUUAAUUGAUGGGGUUAGCGGCAACGCGAAGCUCUUGAUCGAAGCCCCGGUAAACGGCGGCCGUAACUAUAACGGUCCUAAGGUAGCGAAAUUCCUUGUCGGGUAAGUUCCGACCUGCACGAAUGGCGUAAUGAUGGCCAGGCUGUCUCCACCCGAGACUCAGUGAAAUUGAACUCGCUGUGAAGAUGCAGUGUACCCGCGGCAAGACGGAAAGACCCCGUGAACCUUUACUAUAGCUUGACACUGAACACUGGUCCUUGAUGUGUAGGAUAGGUGGGAGGCUUUGAAGCGUGGACGCCAGUCUGCGUGGAGCCAACCUUGAAAUACCACCCUUUAAUGGCUGGUGUUCUAACGUAGACCCGUAAUCCGGGUUGCGGACAGUGUCUGGUGGGUAGUUUGACUGGGGCGGUCUCCUCCCAAAGAGUAACGGAGGAGCACGAAGGUUGGCUAAUCCUGGUCGGACAUCAGGAGGUUAGUGCAAUGGCAUAAGCCAGCUUGACUGCGAGCGUGACGGCGCGAGCAGGUGCGAAAGCAGGUCAUAGUGAUCCGGUGGUUCUGAAUGGAAGGGCCAUCGCUCAACGGAUAAAAGGUACUCCGGGGAUAACAGGCUGAUACCGCCCAAGAGUUCAUAUCGACGGCGGUGUUUGGCACCUCGAUGUCGGCUCAUCACAUCCUGGGGCUGAAGUAGGUCCCAAGGGUAUGGCUGUUCGCCAUUUAAAGUGGUACGCGAGCUGGGUUUAGAACGUCGUGAGACAGUUCGGUCCCUAUCUGCCGUGGGCGCUGGAGAAUUGAGGGGGGCUGCUCCUAGUACGAGAGGACCGGAGUGGACGCAUCACUGGUGUUCGGGUUGUCAUGCCAAUGGCACUGCCCGGUAGCUAAAUGCGGAAGAGAUAAGUGCUGAAAGCAUCUAAGCACGAAACUUGCCCCGAGAUGAGUUCUCCCUGAGACUUUAAGUCUCCUGAAGGAACGUUGAAGACGACGACGUUGAUAGGUCGGGUGUGUAAGCGCAGCGAUGCGUUGAGCUAACCGAUACUAAUGAACCGUGAGGCUUAACCUU